rnacentral:rRNA from 1 species
GGGUUGUGAGGUUAAGCGACUAAGCGUACACGGUGGAUGCCCUGGCAGUCAGAGGCGAUGAAGGGCGUGCUAAUCUGCGAUAAGCGCCGGUAAGGUGAUAUGAACCGUUAUAACCGGCGAUACCCGAAUGGGGAAACCCAGUGUGAUUCGUCACACUAUCAUUAACUGAAUCCAUAGGUUAAUGAGGCGAACCGGGGGAACUGAAACAUCUAAGUACCCCGAGGAAAAGAAAUCAACCGAGAUUCCCCCAGUAGCGGCGAGCGAACGGGGAGGAGCCCAGAGCCUGAAUCAGCAUGUGUGUUAGUGGAAGCGUCUGGAAAGGCGCGCGAUACAGGGUGACAGCCCCGUACACAAAAGCGCAUGUGCUGUGAGCUCGAUGAGUAGGGCGGGACACGUGGUAUCCUGUCUGAAUAUGGGGGGACCAUCCUCCAAGGCUAAAUACUCCUGACUGACCGAUAGUGAACCAGUACCGUGAGGGAAAGGCGAAAAGAACCCCGGCGAGGGGAGUGAAAAAGAACCUGAAACCGUGUACGUACAAGCAGUGGGAGCCCCACCACCAAAGCAUUCUCUGGUGUUGAAGGCCCUGCAAAGCAGCAUCGCGGUGGCGGAGCGUCGUUUGCGACGCCCAACACACAAAACAAACGGUGAGUGCUUUGGGGUGGGGUGACUGCGUACCUUUUGUAUAAUGGGUCAGCGACUUAUAUUCUGUAGCAAGGUUAACCGCAUAGGGGAGCCGUAGGGAAACCGAGUCUUAAUUGGGCGUUAAGUUGCAGGGUAUAGACCCGAAACCCGGUGAUCUAGCCAUGGGCAGGUUGAAGGUUGGGUAACACUAACUGGAGGACCGAACCGACUAAUGUUGAAAAAUUAGCGGAUGACCUGUGGCUGGGGGUGAAAGGCCAAUCAAACCGGGAGAUAGCUGGUUCUCCCCGAAAGCUAUUUAGGUAGCGCCUCGUGAAUUCAUCUCCGGGGGUAGAGCACUGUUUCGGCUAGGGGGCCAUCCCGGCUUACCAACCCGAUGCAAACUGCGAAUACCGGAGAAUGUUAUCACGGGAGACACACGGCGGGUGCUAACGUCCGUCGUGAAGAGGGAAACAACCCAGACCGCCAGCUAAGGUCCCAAAGUCAUGGUUAAGUGGGAAACGAUGUGGGAAGGCCCAGACAGCCAGGAUGUUGGCUUAGAAGCAGCCAUCAUUUAAAGAAAGCGUAAUAGCUCACUGGUCGAGUCGGCCUGCGCGGAAGAUGUAACGGGGCUAAACCAUGCACCGAAGCUGCGGCAGCGACACUGUGUGUUGUUGGGUAGGGGAGCGUUCUGUAAGCCUGUGAAGGUGGCCUGUGAGGGUUGCUGGAGGUAUCAGAAGUGCGAAUGCUGACAUAAGUAACGAUAAAGCGGGUGAAAAGCCCGCUCGCCG